CCCUGUUCGGGAAAAAACGAGCACGGGCAGAGCGGGUAUGGAGGGCUUCGGGGCUCCGGCGGCGGGCCUCGCCGGCCGUGUGCUCCGGCGGCGAACUCGGGGGAUCAGUGUCGCCACGGUGCUCCGACGUGCGGCGUUCCGACGUCCAGCGGACAGCCCACUCCAUCCCCGCCCCUCCCCACACCCGGCGCCAGAUCCGGCAUCCGCCGACGCCGGAGAAGAGGGCUCCAGCCUUCAGGGAAGGAUGGAGUCAAUGGCAAGUAUUGCUCCAAGUGCCAGGUCAACUACAGCGAUGGGACUUGAAGAUGAUGGCAUGAUGCCAACAACUUUUCCUUACCGUCGACGGCGACCGAGCGCAAGGGAGGAGACGCGCUGAGCUCUCCUCCUCCCUACUGGCACUCCCGCCACCCGCCGCUGUCUCUGCCCGGCUUCCCUGUCACGGUGGCUACACUGUUUGCUUCCUUCCCCAGAGGCCACAGCCUCGUCCACACAGAACUGCCUCCUCUAUGGAUGAUGCUUUGAUUAUUAGGAUGAGAAGUAGGAUGAGCUUGCUAUUGUCAAGAUGAUUGGGGCUUUGCCAGGCACAAGUGCCAGAUCUUGUUGGAAUUUGUCCAUCUGAUAUGGGGUGCUCGAAGAGGAUGGCUGCUCCUUACAUAUGUUGCUCAACUUUUAAAAUGAUAUAUAUGUGGCAUGCUCAAGUGUUGGAUAAUACGAUUCUGGACUUGAUGUAUAUGUAAACCAAUCCUGAACUUGAUGUCUAUGCAAAACAAUUUUGGUUUCACACUGGUUGAUUAUGGAAUCGGACCCUUGUGUGGAGCCUGUACACGCUAUGUGUUUUUGUAGCUUGUUCAGCAAGUUCCCAAACAGCAUUAUACUACAAACUUAUUUUCAGCCUUGCCUAACUUCAGUCUUGUGUGUGUUUCUUUGUUAAUUUACAGUUGUACUGAAAUGUAGCAAAGCAGGCUAUCAUUUGUGUGAGUUGUACUGAACUGUGGGUCUGUGGCAAAGAUGAACCCUUUGUCUUUUCU